GCUGGCGGCGUGGAUAAGACAUGCAAGUCGAGCGCUGAUUACAGGGUAGCAAUAUUCUGUAGUCGGAGCGGCGCAAGGGUGCGUAACACGUGGGUAAUCUGCCAUGAAGUUUGGAAUAACUUGCUGAAAGGCGAGCUAAUACCGGAUGUGACGAUUGGAAGGCAUCUUCUGAUUUUCAAAGCUAGGGACCGUAAGGCCUGGCGCUUCAUGAUGAGCCCGCGGCCUAUCAGCUAGUUGGUGAGGUAACGGCUCACCAAGGCUAAGACGGGUAGCUGGUCUGAGAGGACGACCAGCCACACUGGAACUGAGACACGGUCCAGACACCUACGGGUGGCAGCAGUCGAGAAUUUUUCACAAUGGGCGCAAGCCUGAUGGAGCGACGCCGCGUGGGGGAUGAAUGGCUUCGGCCCGUAAACCCCUGUCAUUUGCGAACAAGUUGGUUCAAUUAAUACCUGAACCAUUGAUAGUAGCGAAAGAGGAAGGGACGGCUAACUCUGUGCCAGCAGCCGCGGUAAUACAGAGGUCCCGAGCGUUGUUCGGAUUCACUAGGCGUAAAGGGUGCGUAGGUGGUGAGGUAAGUC
rnacentral:rRNA from 1 species